GACAGAGGAUGCAAGCGUUAUCCGGAAUCACUGGGCGUAAAGCGUCUGUAGGUGGUUUAAAAAGUCUACUGUUAAAGCUUGAAGCUUAACUUCAAAAAUGCCGUAGAAACUUUUAAACUUGAGUAUGGUAGGGGUAGAGGGAAUUUCCAGUGGAGCGGUGAAAUGCGUAGAGAUCGGAAAGAACACCAACGGCGAAAGCACUCUGCUGGGCCGACACUGACACUGAGAGACGAAAGCUAGGGGAGCGAAUGGG
rnacentral:rRNA from 1 species